rnacentral:rRNA from 1 species
GACGAACGCUGGCGGCGUGCUUAACACAUGCAAGUCGAACGGAAAGGCCCUGCUUUUGUGGGGUGCUCGAGUGGCGAACGGGUGGGUAACACGUGAGUAACCUGCCCUUGACUUUGGGAUAACUUCAGGAAACUGGGGCUAAUACCGGAUAGGAGCUCCUGCUGCAUGGUGGGGGUUGGAAAGUUUCGGCGGUUGGGGAUGGACUCGCGGCUUAUCAGCUUGUUGGUGGGGUAGUGGCUUACCAAGGCUUUGACGGGUAGCCGGCCUGAGAGGGUGACCGGCCACAUUGGGACUGAGAUACGGCCCAGACUCCUACGGGAGGCAGCAGUGGGGAAUAUUGCACAAUGGGCGGAAGCCUGAUGCAGCAACGCCGCGUGCGGGAUGACGGCCUUCGGGUUGUAAACCGCUUUCGCCUGUGACGAAGCGUGAGUGACGGUAAUGGGUAAAGAAGCACCGGCUAACUACGUGCCAGCAGCCGCGGUGAUACGUAGGGUGCGAGCGUUGUCCGGAUUUAUUGGGCGUAAAGGGCUCGUAGGUGGUUGAUCGCGUCGGAAGUGUAAUCUUGGGGCUUAACCCUGAGCGUGCUUUCGAUACGGGUUGACUUGAGGAAGGUAGGGGAGAAUGGAAUUCCUGGUGGAGCGGUGGAAUACGCAGAUAUCAGGAGGAACACCAGUGGCGAAGGCGGUUCUCUGGGCCUUUCCUGACGCUGAGGAGCGAAAGCGUGGGGAGCGAACAGGCUUAGAUACCCUGGUAGUCCACGCUGUAAACGGUGGGUACUAGGUGUGGGGUCCAUUCCACGGGUUCCGUGCCGUAGCUAACGCUUUAAGUACCCCGCCUGGGGAGUACGGCCGCAAGGCUAAAACUCAAAGGAAUUGACGGGGCCCCGCACAAGCGGCGGAGCAUGCGGAUUAAUUCGAUGCAACGCGUAGAACCUUACCUGGGUUUGACAUGGAUCGGGAGUGCUCAGAGAUGGGUGUGCCUCUUUUGGGGUCGGUUCACAGGUGGUGCAUGGCUGUCGUCAGCUCGUGUCGUGAGAUGUUGGGUUAAGUCCCGCAACGAGCGCAACCCUUGUUCACUGUUGCCAGCACGUUAUGGUGGGGACUCAGUGGAGACCGCCGGGGUCAACUCGGAGGAAGGUGGGGAUGACGUCAAGUCAUCAUGCCCCUUAUGUCCAGGGCUUCACGCAUGCUACAAUGGCUGGUACAGAGAGUGGCGAGCCUGUGAGGGUGAGCGAAUCUCGGAAAGCCGGUCUCAGUUCGGAUUGGGGUCUGCAACUCGACCUCAUGAAGUCGGAGUCGCUAGUAAUCGCAGAUCAGCAACGCUGCGGUGAAUACGUUCCCGGG